GUCUCGCGCGUGUGUUGAGUGGCGGCAACGCAGACAGGCGCGGCCGCCGGAGCCCCAUCGUUCGGUGCAGCCGAUGGCAGCGCCGCUUAUCGGCGACUACCCUCAGUUUCGGGCAAGAUGGGCGCACCUCGCCGGGCAGUAGCUUAGUCUCUACCUACAAGACAACACACACAUUAAAUGUUUCCUAUAGUAACAAUUAACCAAUUGUACAUUAAUCUUAUUUAAGGGAAACACACGGAGGAGAGAGAGAGAGAGAGAGAGAGAAAGAAAGACACUCCAAACGCUCCGUACUACACGUUCUACACGCAAGUUCUAUUUUUGUAAUAACGCGCCGUAAAUUAAAAAGUAAGUGUGUGCUCUCACCCCGCGAGGCACGCGGUGUAAUUUGUAUAACCGUUGAGAUAGAAAAGGAAAGAGCCGUUUUAUCGUGAAAGAGGUAGCGAAAUUCGAGAUAGAGAUUCGUGGUGCGCGGGAAAACGAGAGACGAAGACGGAGGAAGAACUGAAGAGGUGAACGAGGAGGAAGAGCGUGGCAGAGGAGUAUUAGAGAAAAAAAAGGAGCGGCCGUUGUGUAUGUGUAUGUAUGUGUGUGGUGCACGUGUGUGAAGCAACGGCUAGUAGUUUAGCUGGAUGAUUGUCGUGACGACGACGGCAACGGCAACGUCGACGUCAGCGCCGAGAGUGAACGAGGAGGUCGCCCCACUGAUUUCUCCACGGGAAAGGAGCCAUUAGGAGAGAAAUUCGGAGGAUCGUCUCGUCGACGAUCUACAACGGUUUCGUGCCGACGCGACGCCGCCUUGGAGGUUCGGCGAUAGUAGUCAGUAGCGGCCGGGCAGCGGUGGCAACCGUAACCGCAACGGCAUCGCGCUUGAAACGAUUGUCCCAUCAGUGCCGGCGGUGAGUGAGGAAACUCGUCGCGCGGUGUUGCAGUGCGGCAAGUGACAACGUCGUCGGCCGCGGAACGGCGAGAACGAGGAAACGCCGACGAACGAGUGGAAGAGGCGGAGGAGGAGGAGGAAGCGACGGCUGUGCGGGAGGUAAAAAAGGAGGAGGAGGAGGAGGAGGAGGUGAAGGAACCAGAGUGGCGGCGCGAAAGCGACCGGCGGCGACGGCUGACGGUGGUUUUUAGGCUGCGCACCGUCGCGCCGGCGUAUUUUGUUAUUGUUAUUAUUCUCAUCGGCGGCUGUAGUAGCUUCUAUCCUCCACCGGCGACGUGACGGAUUCCUGUACUUCCUACUUCGGUAACAGCCACAUUGCGACCAUGUCUGUGAGAAUGGAAAACGUGGCCGCGCGGAAGAUCAAUUAUAAAAUGAUGAAUACGAAUGGACCGAGGCCGACGUAUGUGGGCGCCAACAACGGUAACGCCGGCGGCACCGGGGGCGGCGGUGGAGGCGGUGGCGGUGGUGGUAGCG